GAUGAACGCUGGCGGCGUGCUUAACACAUGCAAGUCGAACGAAGCACUUUGAAACAAUCCUCCGGGUUGAUUUGAUUUGUGACUGAGUGGCGGACGGGUGAGUAACGCGUGGGUAACCUGCCUUGUACAGGGGGAUAACAGUUAGAAAUGACUGCUAAUACCGCAUAAGCGCACGGUGUCGCAUGACACAGUGUGAAAAACUCCGGUGGUACAAGAUGGACCCGCGUCUGAUUAGCUUGUUGGUGAGGUAACGGCUCACCAAGGCGACGAUCAGUAGCCGACUUGAGAGAGUGAUCGGCCACAUUGGGACUGAGACACGGCCCAAACUCCUACGGGAGGCAGCAGUGGGGAAUAUUGCACAAUGGGGGAAACCCUGAUGCAGCGACGCCGCGUGAGUGAUGAAGUAUUUCGGUAUGUAAAACUCUAAUCAGCAAGGAAGAUAAAUGACGGUACUUGACUAAGAAGCCCCGGNUAACUACGUGCCAGCAG
rnacentral:rRNA from 1 species